ACAAAGGACCGCUGGCGAGAUGAGCCAUCCUUCUUGCUUGUCAUGCUGGAGGGAAGUUUCUGGCUUCCGGACAAAUGCUUGUUUGCAGGAGGCCACAGAGGAUCCACGUGGCAAAGGUUCCUACUCACAGAGUGGGAUCUGCAAUCCGCAGGCAGGGUCCUUCAGGAAGAAGCCGUGCUGAGCACACAGGUCCCUGCGACCACAGAUGAACAGAACGCCUGGCCUUGCCCCUGGUGUCAGUCAGACUAAUUAGGGGCCCAGGGGACUUGCUGGCACUGCCCUUGCUGUGGCUGGAAAAGCUAUUUAAAUUCACAAAGAGCCUCACUUCCAGGCCAGGUCCUUUUGGUUCCAUGCGUGGGAGCCAGGUGCAAAGACGAAUGUGCUCUCAGCAGAACGACCCUGGGCUCUGCUUAUCUCCGAGGACAGGAUCUAAUCUCACACUGAAUUUCAGAAGGGAGACCGAUCAUGUUGGCAAUGCCCCCCUCCUGUAUGCAAGAAAAAUGAUUUUAGAAUUUGCAGCCAAGAGGACCCUGUCUCCACGCAGCUGAGCUGGGGCUUUCUUACAACAAUCAUGCAAGGGACGCGGGCUGCAGUGAGGAUUUCCCCCCAGUCACUGCCAAGAGACGCAUCCAAAUGACAGACAACGUUAGGCUUUUCCUGGGUCGGGCGCCAUCCCUGUACAGGCAAAGGGCCCAACAGCAUCUUCAACCUGAGCCUGAAGACCCCAGCCCCGACCUGGAGAUGAGGGGGAGGAAGCGCCGUCCCAGAGGAGCAAGGGUGGAGGCCCCCUGGUCUCUGGGAGGCGUGGAGAGCUGGGGCCGGUGCAGGAAGGGAAGCUCUGGUGAGGCUGGGACCUUUUGAGGAGGGAAGAGCAAGUUACCCGGAAAUACAUCACAAAUACUGUGGGAUUUAACUGUAAGUACAAAACAGCUUUUCCAUCAGAACUUAACAGCUACUAUAUUUUCCAG
rnacentral:lncRNA from 1 species